CAAUAGCGUAUAUUAAAGUUGUUGCAGUUAAAAAGCUCGUAGUUGGAUUUUGGGUUUGGUAGAAUCGGUCUGCGUUAUGUAGUACUGACUUGCCUGCUCUUCUUCUCGAGGCCUAUGGGUGUACUUAACCGUGUGUUCAUAGUGUUCGGGACUUUUACCGUGAGAAAAUUAGAGUGUUCAUAGCAGGCUUUUGCCGUUGAAUAUAUUAGCAUGGAAUAAUGAUAUAGGACCUUGGUACUAUUUUGUUGGUUUGCGCACUGAGGUAACGAUUAAUAGGGACAGUUGGGGGUAUUCGUAUUCCAUUGUAAGAGGUGAAAUUCUUGGAUUUUUGGAAGACGAACUACUGCGAAAGCAUUUACCAAGGAUGUUUUCAUUA
rnacentral:rRNA from 1 species